ensembl:lncRNA
AGACGUGUAUAGUGAUUUUAUUAUCAUUUCUUUCCCCCUCCCUCCAGGAAACACACCCCAAGCUGGCGAGAUAGGCGCAGUGCGAGAUGAUGCCCCCAGCUCCAAGCCCGGGAUCCCCAAGUCCCUGCCCCCCAGGGAGCCCCACUCCGGUCUCCUCGGAGCUUCGAGCUUGGACAGCGGGCCGGCUCAGGCCAGCUCCCUCCCGCGACUCCCGCCAGCCCGGCCUCGGAGCCCGGAACUGUCCCCGGCCGCCGGGGCACGGGGCGCGGGGGAGGAGGGAGCAUCCUAGGUUGGGGCGGCUCGCCGCCGGAGCCUAGCGGGGAGCAGGGAGUGGGGAGCACGGCGUGGACGCGGGGCGCUGGCAGCCCCAGCCGAGCAGCUGCCCAGAUCACCGGCAGCAGCAACAGCAGCAGCAGCAGCAGCAGCAGCAGCAGCAGCGAGAGCGAACCAGGCUCGCCAGCCUCGCCGGCCGCGUCCGCUCCGCUCGUCUCUGCUCGCGCCCCAGCCCGGCGCGCGCCCAGCCCGGGCUUCUGCAAAACUUUGAAAAUACAGAGAGAACUCCCAUUACCUUGGCAGGAGCGGGCUUGUCUGCGUUGGAGCGAAAAGCGGCCCUAACUCAGACGUGUGCAGUCCACGGCGAAGUCGGAGCCAACAUGCUGACUUAAUAGCCGAGCUCCCACCCACUCCUGGGAGCUUAAACUUUAAGAUUCCAAGAGAGAUCAACAUUUCUUCCGUCUCUUUAAUUUCCUUGUUUUCUCUUGUUCCGCUCUUCCUUCUGGUGCGCACUUCUGUUUUUAUUUGUUAUCUUUACAUCAGAGCCCCAUCCUCGAAGGGGAUGUUUUCAUGCGAAAACUUUUUGGCAGAGAGGAAUUUCGCGUUGAAUAUAUGAAUGAGAAGGAAGUAAACUGGCAGAUGUGGGGCAGAAAUUAUUUCAAAAAAAAAAAAAAGUAGGGGGAUAAGAGGGAAAAUAAGCUGUUUCUUGUCGAUGGUGGAGGGGGGGGGGGGAAGCAUUCUCAUCCGAAAGGGCGAAGAGUGGGGGGAAGCCUUUACAUGCUUGAGAUAGCCAUCCCCUUAAUUCACUGACAGCUUGAGGCCCAUGGGCUAUUAGCGUUAAAGUACCAUUCUUCCCUUUGCUGUUAUUCUGUCCUUACCUUACAGAAUCCAGGGGUUAAAAUAAAUGGAGUCUUUAAAAUACUAAUUCAUUAACUAGAUUAAUAUGUAAAUCUUAAACCCUAAGAAUCUGGCUUAUUUGCAGUUUUCUAAUCAAAUAAAAGCAAGAGAAAUCUCAACUGUAAUGCAGAUGCUCCAGCAGCUGGCAGUACCCCUACCAAGAAAGCAAAGAAAGAGGACUCCAGGAAAUUGAUGGUACCAUGGGCUCUGGUCUUUUUGACUGAACAUUUUUUUAUUUGCAGAAUGAAAGGCUGAAAAAAGAAGAAGAAGAAGAAAGAAAGGAAGAAAGAAAUAAAGAAGGGAGAAAAGAAAGAAGGAAAAUAAAAUGAAAAUCUCUUGAAGAGAGGGACUAUUGUUGCUUUCACUUUUUAUCCCUAUUUCUUUGCAGAAUGCCUGACACAAAAUAAGUGUUUAUUAAAGAAUGAUCCAGAUUGAUUUUGCAAGCUUAGAUUUCAUCUUCACCUCUUCCCAAUAAUUUUCUUAUUUGUAAAACUAAAUAAAUAACAAUUUGGACUAUUG